rnacentral:rRNA from 1 species
UACGUAGGGUGCGAGCGUUGUCCGGAAUUAUUGGGCGUAAAGAGCUCGUAGGCGGUCUGUCGCGUCGGUCGUGAAAACCUGCAGCUUAACUGUGGGCGUGCGGUCGAUACGGGCAUGACUGGAGUUCGGCAGGGGAGACUGGAAUUCCUGGUGUAGCGGUGAAAUGCGCAGAUAUCAGGAGGAACACCGGUGGCGAAGGCGGGUCUCUGGGCCGAGACUGACGCUGAGGAGCGAAAGCAUGGGGAGCGAACAGG